AUGAAGUUCUCCGGCCCCCGGUGCGGCUCCGGCGAGCCCAAGCGCAAACGCAAUCCCUCCUCCGUGCGGCGCUCCCUGGAGUACCCAUGCGUUUCGCGGCUCCGUCGCCGCCUCCUCCUCGCCUUCCUCUCGCGCCACGGCUUCAGCUCCACCUUCCAAGCGCUGCUGCAGGAGACGACCGUGUUCUUCAGAGUGGAGCACCUGCAGCGCCUCGCGAGGCAGGGCCAGUGGGACGACGCCAUCAAGUACGUCGUCCGCUUCGUGCCCAAGGUCGACGCGAUGCUCGGCGAGGAGGGAAGGCUCCUCUUCAGCUUCAUCAAUCUGCACAGAACCAUCCACUCCAUCUCCAUCGGCACGCCGCACGGCGCCAUUAUGACUGAGUUUUACGAGCGCGACCUCAGCGAGUUUCCUAACGCCCCCUCCGGCGCCGUCAGGCGCGUCCGCUUGCUCUCGGCCUUGCACCGCAACGAGAAGCUCAGGGCCGCCAUCGACUGGCAACUCGUGAGGAACAGGGCUGCGGAGAUUGCCAAGGAUUUGAUCGCCAAGACCCCCGAGUUCAAUGACCUGCUGCGGUUGCCCAACUGCCGAGAUAAGCCACACAACAUUCUCCCCAUCCGGCCCUGCAGCAGUUCUCAUCGGAGGCGUCACAAGAAGGAAGGAGGACGAAUUGCAGCUUCCGAUCUUACCAAAUUCUACCUCCGGAAGAAGAGGAGUUCCAGCCUGCUGCUAUCUUCAAGUCACUUUGAGCUGGGGACUUCUUCAGGCACUCCAUGUUUACCAGCGUCAGGGUUAUCAUGCAAGGCAUCAGCCUUGCUGGCAGAUAUUCUCGAUGAAUCUGUCAAAGCUGGUCUGUGCCGGACUGCCGGGUCGUUCAAGAUGGGCAUCCUUUUGAACAUUCCUGCAAUGAAGCAAACCGAAAACGCAAGCGAGAGUCAUCGGCAUCUUGUAACCUUCGCGUGA
rnacentral:rRNA from 1 species